UACGAAGGGAGCUAGCGUUGUUCGGAAUCACUGGGCGUAAAGCGCACGUAAGCGGAUUUGCCAGUCAGGGGUGAAAUCCCGGGGCUCAACCUCGGAACUGCCUUUGAUACAGCAAGUCUUGAGUUCGAGAGAGGUGGGUGGAAUUCCUAGUGUAGAGGUGAAAUUCGUAGAUAUUAGGAAGAACACCGGUGGCGAAGGCGGCCCACUGGCUCGACACUGACGCUGAGGUGCGAAAGCGUGGGGAGCAACAGGGAUUAAGAAACCCUUG
rnacentral:rRNA from 1 species